GGAAGGUACGCGCCCGGCGGCGCACCCGGUCUUGAAAACCGGCAUGCGGGGGCGGGAGUCCUCGGGGGAUCGACACCUCUACCUUCCGC
rnacentral:tRNA from 1 species